UCAUAUCAUACUGAAAUGCUAGUUCUCAUAUGAUCACCCAGGUUAAGCAACACUGAGCCUGAUCAGUACCUUCAUGGGUAACUGCUUAGGAAUACCAGGUGCUGUAAG